AACAAUAGUAGCGUUUGAAACAUAAUGGAGUAGUAGUAUAAAGUACUAGAACAUUAAAAGUACUUGAGUAAAUGUGACCUAAAUAACUACAUUUCACCACUGCCUUUGUACCUUAGAAUGAAUACCCCUCAUCAACCAAUCACCUUUCAUUAUAAGGAAAUGAAGAGCCCUGAUUGGUUCAUUGAUCGAUAAGGGGUGGGCUAAAACCAAAAACAGGUGUUUUAAUCAGUUUGUUUUUUUCAGACAGAUCCAAAGCAGUACCACCAAUAAACACCAAAGAAGAAGAAGAAGACCUAUCCCAAGCAGUGUUUUGAUUUAACUAGCUGUUAGCUACCAACAAGUUACUGAGCAUAAAAAUAAAAGCUGGAUUUAGAGGAGUUGAUGAGGUCAGACAUAAAAACAAGAGGAAAAGAGGACUUCUAAAGAUAGGUCUUGACAGCAUGCAGAGAGCUGGCACACGGCUGUCCUCUCCUCCUCCCACAGUCCUGUCUGACACGCUAAACGUUGAGUGCCUCCCGCUGUGAAACAAGUUGAUAACUGAUUUUUGGAAGCAACCAUUAAC